rnacentral:rRNA from 1 species
GAUGAACGCUGGCGGCGUGCUUAACACAUGCAAGUCGAACGGGAAACCUUUUAUUGAAGCUUCGGCAGAUUUAGCUGGUUUCUAGUGGCGGACGGGUGAGUAACGCGUGGGCAACCUGCCUUAUACAGGGGGAUAACAACCAGAAAUGGUUGCUAAUACCGCAUAAGCGCACAGGACCGCAUGGUCCGGUGGGAAAAACUCCGGUGGUAUAAGAUGGCCCUGCGUUGGAUGAGCUGGUUGGCAGGGUAACGGCCUAGUAAGGCGACGAUCCAGAGCCGGGAUGAGAGGGUGACCGGCCACAAUGGGACUGAGGCACGGACCAGACUGCUACGGGAGGCAGCAGUAGGGAAUAUUGCACGAUGAGGGAAAACCUGAUGCAGCGACGCCGCGUAAAGGAGGAAGUAGCUUGGUAUGUAAACUUCUAUCAGCAGGGGAGAGAGUGACGGUACCUGGCUAAGAAGCACCGGCUAACUACGUG